UUCGGGAGAAAGAAGGCCUCUCUUUGAAGCUUUCGCUAUUAGAUGAGCCUGCGUAAGAUUAGCUUGUUGGUGAGGUAAAGGCUCACCAAGGCGACGAUCUUUAGCUGGUCUGAGAGGACGAUCAGCCACAUUGGGACUGAGACACGGCCCAGACUCCUACGGGAGGCAGCAGUGGGGAAUAUUGGACAAUGGGCGCAAGCCUGAUCCAGCCAUACCGCGUGUGUGAAGAAGGCCUUCGGGUUGUAAAGCACUUUAAGCAGGGAGAAAAAGUUAUAAGUUAAUACCUUAUAACCGUGAUGUUACCUGCAGAAUAAGCACCGGCUAAUUCCGUGCCAGCAGCCGCGGUAAUACGGAAGGUGCAAGCGUUAAUCGGAAUUACUGGGCGUAAAGCGCGCGUAGGUGGUUUGUUAAGUUGGAUGUGAAAGCCCUGGGCUCAACCUAGGAACUGCAUCCAAAACUAACUCACUAGAGUACGAUAGAGGGAGGUAGAAUUCAUAGUGUAGCGGUGGAAUGCGUAGAUAUUAUGAAGAAUACCAGUGGCGAAGGCGGCCUCCUGGAUCUGUACUGACACUGAGGUGCGAAAGCGUGGGUAGCGAACAGGAUUAGAUACCCUGGUAGUCCACGCCGUAAACGAUGACAACUAGCUGUUGGAAGACAACGUCUUUCAGUGGCGCAGCUAACGUUUUAAGUUGUCCGCCUGGGGAG
rnacentral:rRNA from 1 species